GGCCGCAGUACCCUAACUGCGCGAAGGUAGCAUAAUCACUUGUUCUUUAAAUGAGGACUAGUAUCAACGGCAUCACGAGGGUUCUACUGUCUCCUUUCUCUAAUCUAUGAAACUAAUCUUCCCGUGAAGAAGCGGGAAUAAGCCUAUAAGACGAGAAGACCCCAUGGAGCUUUAAACUUAACUGCACCCUCCCCCUUCUUAUAUCCUUUUACCAGCGGAGACUAUGCGUACUAAGUUUUAGGUUGGGGUGACCACGGAGUACAACAUAACCUCCGCGAUAAACUAAACUAAAUCUUUAAUCUAAGAAUGACACUUCUAGGAAUUAGAAUACUAAUAUGAAAUGAUCCGAUAAUCGAUCAACGGACCUAGUUACCCUGGGGAUAACAGCGCAAUCCAUUUCAAGAGCCCCUAUCGACAAAUGGGUUUACGACCUCGAUGUUGGAUCAGGGUAUCCUAGUGGUGCAGCAGCUACUAAAGGUUCGUUUGUUCAACGAUUAAAACCCU
rnacentral:rRNA from 1 species